rnacentral:rRNA from 1 species
GCUCAAAUUUGAAAUCUUCAAGGUUUUACCUUGACGAAUUGUAGUUUAAAGAAGUGUUUUCUGUUGAAGUUUUGGUAAAAGUUCUUUGGAAUAGGACAUCAUAGAGGGUGAGAAUCCCGUAUUUGACCAUUAUUUCCAGCUGUGUGAUACACUUUCAAAGAGUCGGAUUGUUUGGGAAUGCAGUCCAAAAUGGGUGGUAAAUUUCAUCUAAAGCUAAAUAUUGGCGAGAGACCGAUAGCGAACAAGUACCGUGAGGGAAAGAUGAAAAGAACUUUGAAAAGAGAGUUAAACAGUACGUGAAAUUGUCAAAAGGGAAGCGUUUGACACCAGUGUUGUUUUCUCGAAAAUCAAUUAAAAAGAGUUGGAUUUUGUGUUGUAUUGACCUUAACAGCUUUCUUCACUCUUUUCCUGCUUUUUUUAAUGCACUUUUCAUUUAACAAG